AUUGAACGCUGGCGGCAUGCCUUACACAUGCAAGUCGAACGGCAGCACGGGGCAACCUGGUGGCGAGUGGCGAACGGGUGAGUAAUGCAUCGGAACGUACCUUUCAGUGGGGGAUAACGUAGCGAAAGUUACGCUAAUACCGCAUAUUCUGUGAGCAGGAAAGCAGGGGAUCGCAAGACCUUGCGCUGAUUGAGCGGCCGAUGUCAGAUUAGCUAGUUGGUGAGGUAAAGGCUCACCAAGGCGACGAUCUGUAGCGGGUCUGAGAGGAUGAUCCGCCACACUGGAACUGAGACACGGUCCAGACUCCUACGGGAGGCAGCAGUGGGGAAGUUUGGCCAAUGGGGGCAACCCUGAUCCAGCCAUGCCGCGUGAGUGAAGAAGGCCUUCGGGUUGUAAAGCUCUUUCGGCCGGGAAGAAAUCGCACGGGCUAAUACCCUGUGUGGAUGACGGUACCGGAAUAAGAAGCACCGGCUAACUACGUGCCAGCCGCCGCAGUAAGAC
rnacentral:rRNA from 1 species